rnacentral:tRNA from 1 species
UCCGCUGUGGCCGAGUGGUUAAGGCGUUAGACUUGAAUCAACAUGAUAUAGGUAUCUAAUUCCCUAGGGAGCACAGGUUCGAACCCUGUCGGCGGAG